rnacentral:rRNA from 2 species
UGGGGAAUAUUGCGCAAUGGGGGAAACCCUGACGCAGCAACGCCGCGUGAAGGAUGAAGGUUUUCGGAUUGUAAACUUCUUGGAUGAGGGACGAAGAAAAUGACGGUACCUCAAAAACAAGCCACGGCUAACUACGUGCCAGCAGCCGCGGUAAUACGUAGGUGGCAAGCGUUGUCCGGAAUUACUGGGUGUAAAGGGCGUGUAGGCGGGGCGGCAAGUCAGAUGUGAAAUACCGUGGCUUAACUGCGGGGGUGCAUUUGAAACUGUCGUUCUUGAGUGUCGGAGAGGAAAGUGGAAUUCCCAGUGUAGCGGUGAAAUGCGUAGAGAUUGGGAGGAACACCAGUGGCGAAGGCGGCUUUCUGGACGACAACUGACGCUGAGGCGCGAAAGCGUGGGGAGCAAACAGG